rnacentral:rRNA from 1 species
CCUACGGGUGGCAGCAGUGGGGGAUAUUGCACAAUGGGGGAAACCCUGAUGCAGCGACGCCGCGUGGGCGAAGAAGUAUUUCGGUAUGUAAAGCCCUAUCAGCCGGGAAGAAGAAAUGACGAUACCUGAGUAAGAAGCACCGUCUAAAUACGUGCCAGCAGCCGCGGUAAUACGUAUGGUGCAAGCGUUAUCCCGAUUUACUGGGCGUAAAGUGAGCGCAGGCGGCACGGCAAGCCUGAUGUGAAAGCCCGGGGCCCAACCGCGGGAAAGCAUUGGGAACUACCGGGCUGGAGUGCCGGAGAGGUAGGCGGAAUUCAUAGUGUAGAGGUGAAAUGCGUAGAUAUUAGGAGGAACACCAGUGGCGAAGGCGGCCUACUGGACGGUGACUGACGCUGAGGCACGAAAGCGUGGGGAGCAAACAGGAUUAGAUACCCCAGUAGUC